AACGAACGCUGGCGGCAGGCUUAACACAUGCAAGUCGAACGUGAAGCUGGAGCUUGCUCCAGUGGAAAGUGGCAGACGGGUGAGUAACGCGUGGGAAUUUACCCAGUGGUUCGGAAUAACUUCAGGAAACUGGAGCUAAUACCGAAUACGCCCUUCGGGGGAAAGAUUUAUCGCCAUUGGAUGAGCCCGCGUCGGAUUAGCUUGUUGGUGAGGUAAAAGCUCACCAAGGCGACGAUCCGUAGCUGGUCUGAGAGGAUGAUCAGCCACACUGGGACUGAGACACGGCCCAGACUCCUACGGGAGGCAGCAGUGGGGAAUAUUGCGCAAUGGAGGAAACUCUGACGUAGCCAUGCCGCGUGAGUGAAGAAGGCCUUAGGGUUGUAAAACUCUUUCGCUAGGGAAGAUAAUGACGGUACCUAGUAAAGAAGCCCCGCCAACU
rnacentral:rRNA from 1 species